AUGAUAUACGCAACCCAUAUUCCCAAGAGGGAACGGAAGCGUGCACUAAGGGACGUCUACGCGAUGGAGCCAGUCGCCCCAAAGUUCAACUCAUGGUCCUCCUGUCCGAUCACUUUCGAUCGUAGGGACCACCCCACUAGUAUCCGUCAUGGCGGUUCUGCCGCAUUGGUCCUUGAUCCCAUCAUUGACGGAUUUCACCUCACUCGAGUCCUUAUGGACGGCGGCAGCAGCCUGAGCCUGCUCUAUCAGGAUACAGUGCGCAAAAUGGGUAUAGACCCCUCGAGGAUCAAACCCACUAAAACCACCUUUAAAGGUGUCAUCCCAGGUGUAGAGGCCCAUUGCACGGGCUCAAUCACACUGGAAGUGGUCUUCGGAUCUCCGGACAACUUCCGAAGCGAGGAGUUAAUCUUCGAUAUCGUCCCGUUCCGCAGUGGCUAUCACGAACUGCUCGGGCGAACCGCAUUUGCCAGAUUCAAUGCAGUACCGCAUUAUGCAUACCUCAAGCUCAAAAUGCUAGGACCUCGUGGGGUUAUAACAGUCAAUGGAAACACAGAACGCUCGCUCCGCACGGAGGAGCACACUGCGGCCCUCGCAGCAGAGGCAUAA
rnacentral:rRNA from 1 species